GCUGGAAUUGCUAGUAAUGGCAGGUCAGCAUACUGCCGUGAAUACGUUCCCGGGCCUUGUACACACCGCCCGUCACACCAUGAGAGUUGGGAAUACCCGAAGCCUGUGAGCUAACUUAUAGAGGCAGCAGUCGAAGGUAGAAUCAAUGAUUGGGGUGAAGUCGUAACAAGGUACC
rnacentral:rRNA from 1 species